AGAGUUUGAUCCUGGCUCAGAAUCAACGCUGGCGGCGCGCUUAACACAUGCAAGUCGCACGAGAAAGGGAGCAAUCCUGAGUAAAGUGGCGUACGGGUGAGUAACACGUGGAUUAUCUACCUUUUAGUGGGGAAUAACCCUGGGAAACCGGGGCUAAUACCGCAUAAGUUCGUGAGAAGAAAGCAGCAAUGCGCUGAAAGAGGAGUCCGCGGCUGAUUAGCUAGUUGGCGGGGUAACGGCCCACCAAGGCGAAGAUCGGUAGCCGGCCUGAGAGGGCACACGGCCACACUGGCACUGAAACACGGGCCAGACUCCUACGGGAGGCAGCAGUGGGGAAUCUUGCACAAUGGAGGAAACUCUGAUGCAGCGACGCCGCGUGAGCGAUGAAGCCCUUCGGGGUGUAAAGCUCUUCGACGGG
rnacentral:rRNA from 1 species